UACGGAGGGGGCUAGCGUUGUUCGGAAUUACUGGGCGUAAAGCGCACGUAGGCGGCUUUGUAAGUUAGAGGUGAAAGCCCAGGGCUCAACCCUGGAAUUGCCUUUAAGACUGCAUCGCUAGAAUUGUGGAGAGGUAAGUGGAAUUCCGAGUGUAGAGGUGAAAUUCGUAGAUAUUGGGAGGAACACCAGUGGCGAAGGCGGGUCUCUGGACAGUUCCUGACGCUGAGGCACGAAGGCCAGGGGAGCAAACGGG
rnacentral:rRNA from 1 species